rnacentral:rRNA from 1 species
GACGAACGCUGGCGGCGUGCUUAACACAUGCAAGUCGAACGGAAAGGCCCUGCUUUUGUGGGGUGCUCGAGUGGCGAACGGGUGAGUAACACGUGAGUAACCUGCCCUUGACUUUGGGAUAACUUCAGGAAACUGGGGCUAAUACCGGAUAGGAGCUCCUGCUGCAUGGUGGGGGUUGGAAAGUUUCGGCGGUUGGGGAUGGACUCGCGGCUUAUCAGCUUGUUGGUGGGGUAGUGGCUUACCAAGGCUUUGACGGGUAGGCGGCCUGAGAGGGUGACCGGCCACAUGGGGACUGAGGUACGGACCAGACUCCUACGGGAGGCAGCAGUGGGGAAUAUUGCACAAUGGGCGGAAGCCUGAUGCAGCAACGCCGCGUGCGGAAUGACGGCCUUCUGGUUGUAAACCGCUUUCGCCUGUGACGAAGCGUGAGUGACGGUAAUGGGUAAAGAAGCACCGGCUAACUACGUG